UACACUUUUGUGUCUGCUUGUGCUUUUGAUUUUGUUUCCGCUAUGCCCCCUAAUGAUCUCCGAGGAUUUAUUUUUAUUAGCAGAGAGGUGGCUGCAUCGGAUACGGAAAAUGAAGAAGAAGCACAAAUGGUCGCUUCAAAUAAUGAACGAACUUCUUCAACAUGCUUCUGAGGAAGAUAUGUCUCAAAUAAUAUCAAGAACCACCUCUGAGCAGCUUUCAAUUCUCCAGCAACCAGAACAGAGUUAUGAGAGGGAGUCAAUGGCGAUGCCACCAUCUCGUA